rnacentral:rRNA from 1 species
AAUGAACGCUGGCGGCAUGCCUAACACAUGCAAGUCGAACGGAAACGCGGGCUUCUUGCUCGCGUCGAGUGGGGAACGGGUGGGUAAGGCACCGGAGCGUGCCCUACCGUGGAGGAUGGGAUGGCGAAAGCCGGACGAAUAUCGCACACGACCAGAUAGUGAAAGGGGGGGACCAAAAGUCAACGACGGUUUUGAGGGGACGAAGACGGAGUAGCUAGUUGGUUGGGUAACGGCUUACCAAGGCGACGAUGCGUAGCUGGGCUGAGAGGACGACCGGCCACACUGGAACUGAGACACGGCCCAGACUCCUACGGGAGGCAGCAGUCGGGAAUUUUCCGCAAUGGGGGAAAGCCUGAUGCAGCAACGCCGCGUGAGUGAAGAAGGCCUUCGGGUCGUAAAACGCUUUUGUUCGGGAAGAACAACUGUGUGAUUAUCCACGGGGGUCAUGACGGUACCGGAAGAAUAAGCACCGGCUAACUACGUG